rnacentral:lncRNA from 1 species
GUCUUGCAGGCUGGGGUCCCAGGUGAGAGAUGCCAGCAGGGAGCUCUAGAUGGGGAACUGGGUGAGCCUGGCUCGGUAAGGGCGUGCUCAGAACACCCCAUCCCCGAACACGGUCUUGUGUGAUAAAAUGUCACGCAAGAAGAAUCUGAAACCGCGAGAAGAGGAGGACACGGCCAGACUGCACCGAACCCCGGCACCUCUGUGGGGAAAAGCAGGUCAGGCUGAGCGGGGCCGGCGGGGACACGCGCUCCUGGGCUUCUCCAGAGUCUGCCGGGGCCGGGCCCGGGACCGAGGCUGGGACGCGCUGUGCAGUCCCACCCCUCACACCCCUCGCACGCCUGGAAACACCCUCGGGGUAACACAAGCCGGGGUUGAGUUUCUUGAAGAGAAGCUGGCUGCAUCCUGGAGCCAGGGAAAGAGGAGCACAGGGGCCAAGCGGUCCAGGGCCACGGAGGAGCAGGACCCCUGGGGAAAGGCCCGGGUCUAGGCCGGGGCCAGGGGACCGUGGUGGAGACCUCAAAAAUGGCAGAACACGGAAGCAGGGCGAGAAAAGUAAACGUAGUCCUUGCGGCAGUUUGAAAUACACGCGGGUAAACGCUGGGUGACUCCGCCCGGAUGCAGAGUGGGGGUCUGUGUCUCUCCCCACAGGCUGCAGGGACCGGGCUCUGGGUAACCAGCAGAAGGUAACAGAACGAGGCUGCUUUUCCUCCAGGCUGUUCUGGUGUCCGCGCGUGGCUUGUGCGCUGACUCCUGACUUGGAGCGCCGCGUGGCCAGAGAAAUCUGGGUGCCUCCAGGCCACCAUGGUGAGAGGAGAGGCCACCGCACGAACGGAAGAAGCGAUGGAGACGGUCUUUACGACCUAAGAACAGAAAGAGUUUCUUAUACACAAUCCGAAAAGUAAAAAUUGAUUGAUUGAUUGAUUGAGAUGGAAUCCCACUCUGUCGUCCAGGUUAGAGUGCAAUGGCUUGAUCUCGGCUCAUUGCAACCUCCGCCUCCCGGGUUCAAGCGAUUCUCCUGCCUCAGUCUCCCGAGUAGCUGGGAUUAUAGGCGCCCGCCACCACGACUGGCUAAUUUUUAUAUUUUUAGUAGAGACGCAGUUUCACCGUGUUGACCAGGCUGGUCUUGAACCCCUGACCUCAGGUGAUCCGCCUGCCUCGGUCUCCCAAAGUGCUGGGAUUACAGGCGUGAGCCACCGUGCUGGGCCAAAAAUCAAUUUUAAAACGACCACAUGAAAAAUAAAUCUCCUGUAUCACAGAGCAUGUUCUGAGGAAAAUGAAAGCCACAGAUCCAGAAGAUAUUUGUGACACAUAUGAAAAACAAAAACUCAUAUUCAAAACAUACACAGCAUUGCUAUGAAUCAUUAAGAAAAAUGAUUUCGUCUCCUCUACAGGAGCCUGAGUGAAGGACAAGGACAGAUCAUUAUAAACCAGGGAGCUUGAAGAGCUAGUUAACAAGCACAGAAAAUAUGUUCCCCCACACUGUUAAUCAAGAAAAUUAAAACUGUAAUGAGAUGCCGCAUUGUAUCCAUGGGAUUUCUAAAAGUACAAAGUUCCACAAUACCCGUUGUUGACGGAGCAGGGAAACCGCAGGAGCCUGCAGGAGAUGAGAUUGUAAAUGUGCAAGGACAUUUUGGAGAAGAGUUGACAACAUCUCACUCACGUGUAUCAAGCCAAGUGCCGAAAGAAGAAUUGGUUGUCAUAAAGAAAACAGAAACCCAGAAUGGAUGUAGCUUAUCCCUCCGAUGGAAAGUUACAAAGAAGUUAAAAUGAAUGGGCUGCAUCUCUGUGUAACAAUUUGGAUCAAUAUCAAAGACACAUUUGUUAAAGCAAGGUGUACAAUGAAACCUGCAACAUGAUUUGUCUGUUUAGUAAAACACAGAAAAUCUAACUCCGCCUGGCUUACGAACACACACAUGUGUUAGAAUUUGGGAAAAGGAAAGGGAGGGAGGCCGGCUACACGUGAACUUUUGGAAAAUCUCAGAGGGUCUGGGGCACCAGGUGGAGACCAUGGCAGCCUUCAGGGAUAUGAGGUCAAAUGAGAUGCUGCCUUUCCACCAGAUAAAGAUUUACCUGGUGCCUCUGUUACUGCCCAGCAGCGCCUGAGGACGUGGGGGCUGCUGCCCAACACGGAGGCUGGGCUGGCCUGGUCCGUGGGCUCAGGUUCUCAUCCUCUGCACGUGCAUCUGCCUCCUGUGCGUCUCUGUGCACACGCUUGUAUCUGGAUGCAGAGUCCUGUGCCCAGUGUACAUGCACAGAUGUGCGCAUCUGGGUAGAUGUGCUGGUUCGCUGUGUGAGCAUGCACAGACCCUUGUUCACCGUGUGUGCGCAUCCGUGCAGUGUGGACAUCUGGACAGGACCCCGUGCUCCCUGUCUCUGCCGCUGAGAUGUUUCCUAGCUGUGCACAGAAUUCACUCUCCUACUGGAGGGCUCUGACUGAAAGCUCUGAUGCGGCAGGCCUUCUCUUGACACUUGGUUAAGAAGGAUGUGUUUGCUUCCCCUUCUGCCAUGAUUGGAAGUUUCCUGAGACCCCUCCAGCCAUGCUGAACUGAUUUCCUGAAGACACCAUCCCAGUCAAGUGGUCUGCCUCAUACUGAGCCACCAGACCACCCAGCAUGUCCUCACCCGCGUGGACAGAUGACAGGGGGCUCUGAGCAUGCCCCAGUGCACCUUACGCACCUGUGAAGGUUGGGAGCCUGAGUGCAGCUCCUGUGGCACUGCCCGUGGCCAGGGAGAUGCCUCCUCAGUGCUCCUGACCCUCGGUGGAGGACCGGCCAGCGUGUGUGCCGACAGUGUGUCCACACAGGUGUGCUGCGCCCAAUGGGCAAGUCGGAAACAAAGGAAAAUGCUCUCUGAAGGAAAAGGCAAAGCAAUUUGGAUUUCUGCGAGAAAAUGAGACUGCAUGUGGCACUGGACACUACACAGGCCCGUGACCAUCACACGCCCAGCCUGGCCCCGUGCUGUGCCUGAGCAGAGGACUGUUGGCAGAUGGUUCACUUCCACCCUCCAUGAUAAAUGCUGAGAAAAGAAAGAUCAAGGGCUUCAGAGCCCACUGGAGGGAAUUCAUACAGCCGGGGGCCCAGGAAGCUGCUAAGGAAACUGCCUGGACGGCAGGGUGGCCGUGACCACGGGGACGGGGAGAAGGACCCAGAGGAGCUGAGGAAUCCUUGCUGUGGAAGGCACCAUAUGAGCUGCGUGAAGUCAGAGUCAAAAGCAAACCCGUCUCUUCUUGACAGUGGGACCCAGGAGGCAGGACAACCUGCCAGAGAGGCUGAAGGAGGUUCCCUCAGGCUGGAUCCUCGACAAGAAAAAGGAAGAGGGUCUGCCUGAUUCCCUCGCCAACAACAGCUGGUCUUCCAGAAGUCAGCAAUCUCUUGUCCCUUGUCUUCAAAAGCCCAUGGAGCUGGAGGCAGGCAGCUGAGGUCAGGAAGAGAAGGUGCGACCCAGUCCAGGAAGGCUGAGUCCUCGUGAACCCUCAGGGCUGGGGUGAGGGGCCAGUGCCCGGCCCAGACACCAGCACAGCCCUGCAGUGGGAGUUGAUCUCAGCAGAUGGACGGGCACCGCCCAGAGGAUGGACUGGUCAGCACCGCCCGGAGGAUGGACCGCUCAGCACCGCAGUGGCCGCUUGGCCUAAUUUGCCACCUGAAGAGCCGCCAGGUCUCCAGUGACUCUAGCACCAUGGACAGGAGAGGAGCAGGGUGACCUGAGGGUACAGAGAAGGUUCUGCUGUAAUCAAGUUCCCCUGCCUGGUCAGAGGGCUCAGAGGUUUGAGAGGGGAGGGAUUUCCUUUUAAAGCUGCAGGAUCCCUGUGGGUCCAGAAAGAAACACAGCCAUGGCGGGCAUCCCAUGGAGGGUAGUGACCAGGAGCAGGACAAAGGUGGAAGGUGGGUGGAGCCCCCACAUGGGCCUCAGGUCACAUUGGACAUUUCCUCAGCAAGUGUCACCUGGGUGGUGACGAAUGGGGGAGGAGAACAGAUGGAAUGCGGAGAGUAGCAGUGUGAAGCUGCACCGCCUGGUCACCACUCGAGAUACACAGGGUUUGCUCUGCCUGAGGAGCACACGCUGGCUGCAGACACGGGGCAACCACGUGAGAAAGGUCAGACCCAGGCCCACUCGCCUUCCAUAUGCAUCUUAGGGACGGGGAUGCCUGCGCCAGCAGCAGCCUUGCUGCCCCUGCGUCCCCCAGUGCACCUGCCAGGGCAAAGCCAACAGGCAGUGCCAAGGACCUGAGGGAGGAGGUGGGCUUGACUUCGAGGCAGGGCACAGACACCAGACCACGUGGAGGAGCAGCUGAAACAGGGCCGGUGGCAGCAGCCGCCUGUGAGACGUGCCAGCCGGUGAGCCUUGUUAGUUUACCAUUGCCACGGCAAGACCCAGAAGUUACUGCCACUUCCCACGGUAAAAUCCCAAUGACCCUGAGGUUUCUGCUCCUUUUCUAGAAAUUUCUGCAUAAACCAACCCCUAAUUAGCAUGUAGUUAAAAGUGGGUGUAAUUAUGAUGCGGAGCUGCCUCUGAGCUGCUCUUCUGUGCACUCUGCUGUCCUGGGGCAGCCCCUCUGCUGCCGCUGCAAUAAAAGCUGCUAACAGCA